rnacentral:tRNA from 1 species
GCCUGGAUAGCUCAGUUGGUUAGAGCGUGCUGCUGAAUAAUGCCAAGGUUGCAGGUUCGAUCCCCAUAAAGGACA